GAAAGAGGGCACAAUGUAAAACAAAGACAUAGAGACAAUCACCAAGAAGAUAACACAAGAGCCCACACAUCGUACGCCACGUGGCAGAUUCACCUCUUUAUAAUCCUCUCUCCCUCACGGUUUCUACGACAUUUUCACAAAGCCACACCAACUCACUCACAAAAUCUGUAGAAUCAUCUUUCAACAAUGGCUUCCACUGCUCUCUCCAGCGCAAUCGUAAGCACCUCUUUCCUCCGCCGUCAACAGACACCAAUCAGCCUCAGAUCCCUCCCGUUUGCCAACACACAAUCUCUCUUCGGCCUCAAAUCUUCCACCGCUCGCGGCGGCCGCGUCACGGCCAUGGCUACCUACAAGGUCAAGUUCAUCACACCUGAGGGAGAACAAGAGGUCGAAUGCGAAGAAGAUGUCUACGUCCUCGACGCUGCUGAGGAAGCCGGACUCGACUUGCCCUACUCAUGCCGUGCCGGUUCUUGCUCAAGUUGCGCCGGGAAAGUCGUCUCUGGUUCUAUUGACCAGUCGGACCAGAGCUUCUUAGACGAUGAACAGAUGAGUGAGGGCUAUGUCUUGACCUGUGUGGCUUAUCCGACUUCUGAUGUCGUCAUCGAAACCCACAAAGAAGAAGCCAUUAUGUAAAAUUUUAAAGCUUUUUGAUGAAUUUCAUCAAAAGAGAAAUUACUUGAUGUUUAAGUCAUCUCUCUUGUUACUUCGCUAAUGUUGCCCUAAUUUGGCUCAUCCUUUUAUAAGAUCAAUCAAUAAUAACAAAUUUCAAUGUUUUGUUCUUCAUUUUGGUUGUUUUUUUGAAAUCUAAUGUCAAUUAUUUUCCACAC
rnacentral:lncRNA from 1 species